UGGUGCGGUGAAUACGUUCCCGGACCUUGUACACACCGCCCGUCAAGCCAUGGAAGCCGGGUGUACCUAAAGUCGGUAACCGAAAGGAGCCGCCUAGGGUAAAACUGGUAACUGGGGCU
rnacentral:rRNA from 1 species